GAAAGUUCGCUGCUGCGAUAUACGUUUGUUUUUCUCUAUGGAUGUUGUUUAUUAUUGAUUGUUAGUGUUAUUUUGCAGUUUUGACCGUCAUUGUGUGCUUUUAUAAACAGUUUUAUUAUAAUUUCCUUUUGUUUUUUAUCUUGGCGUGAACAACUGGUGCUAGUCCAGCACAGCUCGGUUGAACAUUGUUUUUAUUUUCACAUUUAGGGCUGGAGUGCAGGGAGAGGGAGUUGGAGCGGAGGUUUAUUUGUUUUUACUCUUCUCCCCCAGAAUAAAAAAAAAUCUCAACGAAACCUGACUGAAUGACCUCUGGAAAUUCAUUGAUGCCACCCGUUACAGAAGCCAAUGAAACAUUUCAACGUGUGUGCUAUUAAUUUGCCUACUUUACUUGAAAUAUAUGAAAACUAACUGUAAAUGAAAAUUAAUCAACAUGCCUGUUGUCGUCAUAUACUUCCACAGCCUCAGCCUAAACCAGCUCUCUGAUCGAACAGGCUGUCUUUUUAAGCUGGUAUGUCAAAAAGAACUUGUCCAUCAAUAAAUGGCUCCUGUCCAAACGCCA